AACGUGAGAAUGAACAUCAAAGACCCAUGGGAUUACUCUUUCAUGGAACUGGAGUGGUCAAUCCUUCCAUGCUUUCUCUCCCAGCUGGACCACUUAGUCUCAAGAAUAAGAAGCAAUCAAUUUUUAAAAGUUGCCAAGGGAAGAAACAAUAAAGGUACCUGCUAUUCUGGCCUUAACUUCCCAAGCAUAACAAAUAGGCUGAUGAUACAGAAGUGACAAGAAAGCAAAGGUCCUGCACAUUACCCAACACACAAAGCACGUAAGGAUGUAAAUGAUGUCCCAGAAAGCCAAGAGAACUUAUCUGAAAACUACUAUCAAUAGUGGUGGAGAAAUCAUGGACAACAGGAAAAGUGCCAAAAGAUGGAAGAUUAGAAAAUUUUGCUUCUGCUUUAAAAUAGGGUAUAUUUCAGAAAUCACACAUUGGUAUGACUUGAUCUUCAUCCUCAAAAAAAGAGAUGUUACAAUGAAUUCUUGAAUGGAUAUUUGAGGGAAUUGAGAAAAAAAAUGAGAUUUCUUAAGGGCUUAUUAUGCCACAAUAAUCUUUCUUUGAGUAGGAUUACUAGAGUGGUUAGAUCAAGAGACUAGAGCAAUAUUUUGAUUUAAUUAAAGUAUUUGAUAAUGUCUUUCAUUAAAUCAUUGUGAAUGAAUAGCAUGAUAAAAUGUGAGUUUAGCACAGGGAAGUGAAUUUGCAGUUUGCUGCAUACCUAUACUAAAGAACAUUGAUUGGUGAUAUGGAAUCAAACUGAAGUGAAGUUUCUAAUAAAGAAGCACUGUCAUCUCUUUUUGACCUUAUCAUUUAAAAAUUUUAUCUACUAAACUAUAAAUAUCAUAAAGGCAG